AUUGAACGCUGGCGGCAGGCCUAACACAUGCAAGUCGAACGAGUGGCGGACGGGUGAGUAAUGUCUGGGAAACUGCCUGAUGGAGGGGGAUAACUACUGGAAACGGUAGCUAAUACCGCAUACCAUCAGAUGUGCCCAGAUGGGAUUAGCUUGUUGGUGGGGUAACGGCGCACCAAGGCGAAGAUCCCUAGCUGGUCGGAGAGGAUGACCAGCCACACUGUAACUGAGACACGGUCCAGACUCCUACGUGAGGCAGCAGUGGGGAAUAUUGCACAAUGGGCGCAAGCCUGAGGCAGCCAUGCCGCGUGUGUGAAGAAGGCCUUCGGGUUGUAAAGUACUUUCAGCGGGGAGGCGUUACCCGCAGAAGAAGCACCGGCUAACUCCGUGCCAGCAGCCGCGGUAUUUC
rnacentral:rRNA from 1 species